CUUUUUCAAAAGACGUUCUUAACUUUUCUUCUGUAAUUAAAUUACACAGAAAAAAAAUUAACUUAGCCAUCAGCCAACAACUGCUAAUUAUGAAUAUAACUCCAAAAACUUGACUCAAGUAAAUAAGUUAAUUUAUUAGUUUGGUGUACAAAGGAGCCUCUAAAUAUCUAUUAGAUCAUUGUCACCUAAUCAUACUUUAUGUCAUUUAAGUAAAAGAAAGCCACACUUAGGAAUAUCAUAUUACAUCAAUAGUCUUAUAAUUUCCAUAAUCAAGAAAGUUAUAUUUUCCAAUUUAUUGUUGAAUUGAAUUAUUUAUGGUUCCCUUGAAUGGAAAUUGUUUAUGAACCACCAAAAAUUACAUAUAAAAGAAAGGCAAAGCUAAUUUGUUAAAGUUUUAUUGUUAUUAUUUUUCUUUUUUAACCAAUUUUUAAUUUUUAAAAUAUUUCUCCCUAGUCUAUGCAGAAGUUAAGAUGGAGCUCCUCAAUCUAUGAUCAUUUUAAAAAUAAAAAGUAAAUAAAUAAAUAAAAAUGCCCCAACUUUUAUUUUUCACAUUUGAAGUUCACAACUUUAAAAUGCAGCAAAUUGAUCCCUAGACAGCAGAUACUUUCCUUCAUUUAAUUAUUAAAGAAUCAUGUUUUAUACCUUUAAAGUUGAAAACAAAAUAAAUAAAAUAAGAAAGCACAAAAUACCUUGUAAUUAGUGUCCAUCCUUGGAAUUAAUUGCAAGGGAUUUGCAGUGGAGGCUCCCGUCGUUAGAGCAUGAAAGCAAGAAAUUAAGUGUUAUCAACUGCAAGGAAUUUGCAGCAGAAUGUUUGAUGAUCAAAUAAAUUCCACAAAGCAAGAAAUUAUAGUGUUAUGCCAAAACUGAUAAAACACAAUAUCCUGUAUUUGCUUUUCCAAUUCAACCACAUUCAUUUAGUUUCGAACGCUCUUCGCCAUCUGAUACUUUUUAGGGUUCAUGGAUUUGGGGGCGAUUUUGGCCCAGUUGGCCUAAUUUAAAUGCUGGUACAUGCCACAUCAAAUUUCUAAAUCGCCACAUGGCACAUCCUAUCAAUUAAGUAUAACGAAAAUCAAAAGAGUGAUGAACAGAUAAUAAAUUAAAAAAUGGAUGAACAAAGAGUUGUGCUUUAUUGUUUAAUAAGCAAGUAAUUAUAUAAAAUAAAGUUUGAUGAGCCUUCAUUAAACUUACUCUUCCUUUUGUUCCGUAGAACUCUCUCUUGGCUCAAAGGAAAAGAGAAAAGUAAAAACAAAAUAGAUUCUUUGCUUGGAAGGACAAAAAAGAAAAAAUAGAACAAUAUUACAAAUACAUAAUUAUUUACAAAGUGAUGUACAUAUUGAUGAAAUGACAUUAUAUUAAAAGUUAACCGAUUAUUUCCUCUCUCUUUUUCUCUCUCUCUCUCUCUUCCUAAUUAUUUUUUUCUCUUUCUAUCUAAUUAUAUGAAUAAUAAGCAGUAUUAUUCAAAUAAAUAUAAAUUAUGUUCCUUUCCAAGCAUACACGUAUUGCAUAUCCAUUUAAACACUAAAGUCCAGCAAUUGUCAAUCAAAUAAAAAAAUUAAAAAUCCCCUAUUAAAUAACCAUUGCCCUGAAGUGCAUGUAAGCCAAAGUAUCAACAAAACCCCAUCCUAUCUCAUUCUCGGUCGAACUGAGCAAUAAAAUUGUGUGACAAAAACUUCGCCAUCAAUGGCGUGAAGCAUUAUCAACUAUAACCUUGCGUACCGGAAACAUUUAUUUUCGAAUGGGCAAAAUCUUCACUCUACAAUUAUCCAACAAAAGAAUACCACACUGAUCAUAAAUAGAUAUAGAGAGAGAGAAGAGAGAGAGAGAGAGAGAGAGAGAGAAGAGGUAAUUGUAGUAAAUAUAUGAGGAAACGAGUGAAAAGCAAAGCUGGGAAAGCACGGAGAUCAGUUGUUGGAAGGAAUUUUCGAUUGCAUCCAUGAAAUCACUGUGGCACUUACUUUCUCUAGGAUGAGCGAAUCUGCUUAUCGAGUUGAAACGACGUCGCGACUCGCCCAAUGGCGGAUCGAAAAUUUAGCUUCGUGUACUUAUAGAAAAUCAGACCCUUUCAAGAUCGGGAAAUGGAAUUGGUCAGUCUUUAAAACCGCUUUUUAAUUAUUUUUUCGAUGAAUUAUCUGUAUUCUUCACAAACAGGGAAAUUCCAAUAAAUUUUCUCUGACGGGAAGAGUUUGAGAUAAUCGAAGAAGGAUUUUAUUUAUAUUUUUUCUUAUUUCUAAAGAAAAUGGCGGUUACCAAUGAAAUGAAACGGUGCCCCUAUUCUUUGCUUUUUCAAGAUUAACUGAAAUUUUGUAUUCUAAUUCGAAUUAAGACCUGUGAAAUGGAGACCGAAUUCAGGAUCCUGAAAAAAUAGAUACUUUAAUUUUUGCAAUUUCUUGGCUAAUUGUUAGCUCUUGAAGAUAAGGUAAGAUUGUUUAUUUUCUUUAAGAUACGGAAAUUGAUUUUUUUUUUUUUUUU
rnacentral:lncRNA from 1 species